rnacentral:rRNA from 1 species
CCUAGUAGCGGCGAGCGAGCGGGAAGAGCUCAAAUUUAUAAUCUGGCACCUUCGGUGUCCGAGUUGUAAUCUCUAGAAGUGUUUUCCGCGUUGGACCGCACACAAGUCUGUUGGAAUACAGCGGCAUAGUGGUGAAACCCCCGUAUAUGGUGCGGACGCCCAGCGCUUUGUGAUACACUUUCAAUGAGUCGAGUUGUUUGGGAAUGCAGCUCAAAUUGGGUGGUAAAUUCCAUCUAAAGCUAAAUAUUGGCGAGAGACCGAUAGCGAACAAGUACCGUGAGGGAAAGAUGAAAAGCACUUUGGAAAGAGAGUUAACAGUACGUGAAAUUGUUGGAAGGGAAACGCUUGAAGUCAGACUUGCUUGCCGGAGCUUGCUUCGGUUUGCAGGCCAGCAUCAGUUUUCCGGGGUGGAUAAUGACGGUUUGAAGGUAGCAGUCUCGGCUGUGUUAUAGCUUUCCGUUGGAUACAUCCUGGGGGACUGAGGAACGCAGCGUGCUUUUUGCGAAAGACUCGUCUUUUUCACGCUUAGGAUGCUGGUGGAAUGGCUUUAAACGACCCGUCUUGAAACACGGACCAC